rnacentral:rRNA from 1 species
GUGCCAGCCGCCGCGGUAAUACGUAGGUGGCGAGCGUUGUCCGGAAUUACUGGGUGUAAAGGGCGUGUAGGCGGGGUGCCAAGUCAGGUGUGAAAUUCCGAGGCUUAACUUCGGGUGUGCAUCUGAAACUGGUGCUCUUGAGUGUCGGAGAGGAAAGUGGAAUUCCCAGUGUAGCGGUGAAAUGCGUAGAGAUUGGGAGGAACACCAGUGGCGAAGGCGGCUUUCUGGACGACAACUGACGCUGAGGCGCGAAAGCGUGGGGAGCAAACAGGAUUAGAUACCCUGGUAGUCCACGCCGUAAACGAUGGAUACUAGGUGUAGGAGGUAUCGACCCCUUCUGUGCCGGAGUUAACACAAUAAGUAUCCCACCUGGGGAGUACGGCCGCAAGGCUGAAACUCAAAUAAAUUGACGG